ACUAAAGUAGCUCAGUCUGGAGAGCGUUAGACUGAACAUCUAAGUGUCCCUAGUUCUAUCCCGGGUUUCAUCU